GAUGAACGCUGGCGGCGUGCUUAACACAUGCAAGUCGAACGAUGAAGCCCAGCUUGCUGGGUGGAUUAGUGGCGAACGGGUGAGUAACACGUGAGUAACCUGCCCUUAACUCUGGGAUAAGCCUGGGAAACUGGGUCUAAUACCGGAUAGGAGCGUCCACCGCAUGGUGGGUGUUGGAAAGAUUUAUCGGUUUUGGAUGGACUCGCGGCCUAUCAGCUUGUUGGUGAGGUAAUGGCUCACCAAGGCGACGACGGGUAGCCGGCCUGAGAGGGUGACCGGCCACACUGGGACUGAGACACGGCCCAGACUCCUACGGGAGGCAGCAGUGGGGAAUAUUGCACAAUGGGCGCAAGCCUGAUGCAGCGACGCCGCGUGAGGGAUGACGGCCUUCGGGUUGUAAACCUCUUUCAGUAGGGAAGAAGCGAAAGUGACGGUACCUGCAGAAGAAGCACCGGCUAACUACGUGCCAGCAGCCGCGGUAAUACGUAGGGUGCGAGCGUUAUCCCGAAUUAUUGGGCGUAAGAGCUCGUAGCGGUUUGUCGCGUCUGUCGUGAAAGUCCGGGGCUUAACCCCGGAUCUGCGGUGGGUACGGGCAGACUAGAGUGCAGUAGGGGAGACUGGAAUUCCUGGUGUAGCGGUGGAAUGCGCAGAUAUCAGGAGGAACACCGAUGGCGAAGGCAGGUCUCUGGGCUGUAACUGACGCUGAGGAGCGAAAGCAUGGGGAGCGAACAGGAUUAGAUACCCUGGUAGCCCAUGCCGUAAACGUUGGGCACUAGGUGUGGGGACCAUUCCACGGUUUCCGCGCCGCAGCUAACGCAUUAAGUGCCCCGCCUGGGGAGUACGGCCGCAAGGCUAAAACUCAAAGGAAUUGACGGGGGCCCGCACAAGCGGCGGAGCAUGCGGAUUAAUUCGAUGCAACGCGAAGAACCUUACCAAGGCUUGACAUGUUCUCGAUCGCCGUAGAGAUACGGUUUCCCCUUUGGGGCGGGUUCACAGGUGGUGCAUGGUUGUCGUCAGCUCGUGUCGUGAGAUGUUGGGUUAAGUCCCGCAACGAGCGCAACCCUCGUUCCAUGUUGCCAGCACGUAAUGGUGGGGACUCAUGGGGGACUGCCGGGGUCAACUCGGAGGAAGGUGAGGACGACGUCAAAUCAUCAUGCCCCUUAUGUCUUGGGCUUCACGCAUGCUACAAUGGCCGGUACAAUGGGUUGCGAUACUGUGAGGUGGAGCUAAUCCCAAAAAACCGGUCUCAGUUCGGAUUGGGGUCUGCAACUCGACCCCAUGAAGUCGGAGUCGCUAGUAAUCGCAGAUCAGCAACGCUGCGGUGAAUACGUUCCCGGGCCU
rnacentral:rRNA from 1 species